GACGAACGCUGGCGGCGUGCCUAAUACAUGCAAGUCGAACGCAGUGGGGACGGGUGAGUAACAAGUGGGUAACCUCCCAUCAGAGGGGAUAACACUUGGAAACAGGUGCUAAACCGAUACUGAUGGAUGGACCCGCGGUGCAUUAGCUAGUUGGUGAGGUAAAGGCUCACCAAGGCCACGAUGCAUAGCCGGCCUGAGAGGUGGAUCGGCCACACUGGAACUGAGAAACGGCCCAGACUCCUACGGGAGGCAGCAUUAGGGAAUCUUCGGCAAUGGACGAAAGUCUGACCGAGCAACGCCGCGUGAGUUAAGAAGGUUUUCGGAUCGUAAAACUCUGUUAUUGGAGAGGCGGUACCUAACCAGAAAGCCACGGCUAACUACGUGCCAGCAGCCGCGGUAAUAC
rnacentral:rRNA from 1 species